CCUCAACCAAUCGGCUCUGACAGGAAGUUCCCCCAGCUUAUUAGCGCUAAAAUGCUAAUUUAGUUUCUUUUGUUGUCAGUUCGUUCCUAGACCUGGCAUUUAACUUCACACUUUCUUGUAUUAAAUCCGUUCAUCUACAACACUGGCCCGCUCCUUGGAGAAUGCGGUACAGGGGAGAGUUUAGCUGGCUGUGAAUCCCAGUACAGUACAGGAGUCACGUUAGGUGCAACAGUACAGUAUUACACUGCAGAAAGUAGUAAAAAUGUCGAGGAAAAAGCAAUUAACAAUGGAAGAGAGACAGACCAUCAUAAAACUUAAAAAUGAAGGUCUUUCCUACAGAGAAAUUGCGAAGAAAGUCAAGGUGUCACUGAGUGCAGUUUCCUUCACCAUCAAAAGGCACUCAGAAACUGGAGGUAACUUUGACAGGAAGAGGUCUGGAAGACCCAAAGCCACAACAAAAUCAGAAGACAAGUUUCUGAGAGUCAGCAGUUUGUGUGAUAGGCGGCUCACAGGACAACAGCUUCAAACACAGCUUAAUAGUGGUCGUAGUAAGCAAGUCUCAGUUUCAACUGUGAGGAGAAGACUUCGAGGUUCGACAGAUAAAGCUGCAGCAACAAAGUCAUCGGUAAAGCAUCAGAAUAAGAAAAAGAGGCUUGCCUGGGCCAUGAAACACCACCAAUGGACUACUGAAAACUGGAAGAAUGUAUUAUAAACUGCUGAAUCAAAAUUUCAAAGCUUUGAAUGCUAGGAGAAAGGAUGGUUCCUCAGUGUGUGACAUCAACUGUCAAACAUGGAGGAGGAAGUGUGAUGGUCUGGGGCUGUUUUGCUGGAUCCAGGGUCGGUGACUUGUAGAGAGUGAGAGGAACCCUGACCCUAAACGGCUGCCUCAGCAUUCUGCAGCGCCAUGCAGUACCCUCUGGUAUGUUCCUAGUUGGUCAGGGGUUCAUUCUACAGCAAGAUAAUGACCCAAAACAUAAGUCCAAGCUAUGCUAGAACUACCUUAGGAAAAAAGAACAGGAUGGUAAGCUUAAAAACAUGGAGUGGCAGCACAGUCUGCAGACUUAAACCCCAUGGAGCUGGUUUGAGAUGAAAUGGACAGAAGAGUGAAAGCAAAGCAACCUACAAGUGCCACACAUUUAUGGGAACAUCUGCAACAGAGUUGGGAUCACUGAGUGUUGGAUUACGGUAACAUAUUAAGUCCUGAGUGACUAUAUUGCAACUAUACAGAAGGAUGAUACUGCUCACUUCUGGGUUUCUUUUCACUGCUCCAUUCAAAUCAAAUGCUUAAUGGAAAAGGCAUGGCGCUGUGACCUUCAUCUAGCAAAAUAAAAGGAUAUUAGAUGAAUAAAACUGUCUAAGAUAUGACUUCCUGCAUCAAAAUGAAGAAACUGACUCUUGGAAGAUGCCGUCAUAGGCGUUUCCGAGCCCUUGUCCAUGCAUGUAUCAGCAGAUUAGUUACUGGUGAUAAUUCCAAUACUGUUCUGAGCUGUUUCCUUAUAGCAUUACUAUUUGUAUAUUUUUGACCCAGCAGAUUUUAUGAUAUUUCCAGAAGACCUUUAAUGAAUCUAUGAAAGAACCAAAAUGAAUGAUUGUUUAUUGUGACAAAGACUGGUGUGUUUAUUUCAGUGGGAAAGUCAGGGUUAUAGGAGUCACUGGAAAUUCCAGACAGCAGUGAUAUGAAGUGGUCUUUACAAGUGCGUGUUAUUUGUUCACAGCUGUAUUUAUAGACGUCUUACUGCUUGUUUUUACCUCAGUGCUGUGCUUUAAUGUGGGUUCUCACUGACAGAAUUAUGUGGAAGAUGCUGUUUUUACUGAACUUGAAAAGUCCAGUUUAACUUUACGUGGAGAACAAUUAAAGAUCAUUUUUUUCCCUGUGGGAAACUUUCAAUCUUACUUAUUUAAUCAUAUUAUACUGGCUUUGCCUUUAAAUAUAUUUAUUGUCAUCCAA